UUUUUCCUUCGGGGCAGGGUGUAAUUCCCGACCGGCGGUAUAGGCCGCGAACUGCUUUAGGCAGUUGAUCUGGUGAAAUUCCAGAGCCGACAGUAUAGUCUGGAUGGUAGAAGGAGAUU
rnacentral:ncRNA from 2 species